rfam:Schistosoma haematobium scaffold164_20, whole genome shotgun sequence.
AUCCGGCUGACGAGUCCCAAAUAGGACGAGAUGUGAGUCCUGCAU